AAGACCUUGCGCUUUUGGAGCGGCCGAUGUCUGAUUAGCUUGUUGGUAAGGUAAAAGCUUACCAAGGCUUCGAUCAGUAGCUGGUCUGAGAGGACGGCCAGCCACACUGGGACUGAGACACGGCCCAGACUCCUACGGGAGGCAGCAGUGGGGAAUUUUGGACAAUGGGGGCAACCCUGAUCCAGCCAUGCCGCGUGAGUGAAGAAGGCCUUCGGGUUGUAAAGCUCUUUCAGCCGGAACGAAACGGUUACGGUUAAUACCCGUGACUACUGACGGUACCGGAAGAAGAAGCACCGGCUAACUACGUGCCAGCAGCCGCGGUAAUACGUAGGGUGCGAGCGUUAAUCGGAAUUACUGGGCGUAAAGGGUGCGCAGGCGGUUUUGUAAGUCAGAUGUGAAAUCCCCGGGCUUAACCUGGGAACU
rnacentral:rRNA from 1 species